CUGAGUCUUUCGGACCCCCGCCGCGGAAGCCGGUCGAAAUCCGGCGCUGACCCGCAACGGUAGGCCUUCGGCUCCUUCUCCGGAGCCGAAGGCGAGCCCGAUACCGGCGGAGGUUCCUCGAACCUC
rnacentral:ncRNA from 2 species